rnacentral:misc_RNA from 1 species
CCCCUUCAAUAUUUCCAACUACAAGAUUGCAUCAAUCUGUUAUACAAUGUUAUUUUAGUGCGUGAUCCAGCCUAAAGAACAAUUGUCAAAAUUGAUAUCACUCAUUACACAUGCUAAUUUAAAAUAGUUCGAUUAGAUCUCCAUUCCAGAGCAAUGUCUUUAGUGAACAGACAACAGACCCCCAAAUGCACACGGUUCAUAUUGCAAGUUCGCUAGGAAACAUGGCAAGGGUAAUGGUGUAAUAAAAAGCAAUGUGGAAAAGCUUUGAAUCAAC